rnacentral:misc_RNA from 1 species
GAAAUGCGAUAAGUAGUGUGAAUUGCAGAAUUCAGUGAAUCAUCGAAUCUUUGAACGCACAUUGCGCCCCUUGGUAUUCCAUGGGGCAUGCCUGUUCGAGCGUCAUUUGUACCCUCAAGCUCUGCUUGGUGUUGGGUGUUUGUCCCCGUCUCCGCGCGUGGACUCGCCCCAAAGUGAUUGGCAGCCGGCGUACUGGUCCCGGAGCGCAGCACAUGUCGCGCAAACGAGUGCCUUGGUACGGCGGCGUCCAUAAGCCCCUCUCUCACGCUCUUGACCUCGGAUCAGGGAGGGAUACCCGCUGAACUUAAGC